AAAGAAUUGAACGAAUUUCCUAAGGUUUUGAAUAGGCAGUAUAACGGCUGGGUUUGGAUGAUAAUUUGGGAUUUUGUAUGGGCGGCACUAUGGCUAGAUGGGGUUACAUAUUAGGGUUUUGGUUGGGCAUUAUAACUGGGAUGAUAUUUGGGGGUUUAACUUGUGCAGCACAAUGGCUAUAAGGAGGAAUAGACCGGAGUUUCGAAUAGAUCCUUUAGGGGUUGGGGUCACUAGGGGAUUAUAGAAUGAUACUUGAGAGCUUGUGCGACAAUUGGUCUGUCCUGGUACUAGGGGAUAGUACACAUGGCGAUAGACGCAGUCAGGCAAGAUUAAGCAGAUGCAUGGCAGCAAUAGGGGUCAACGGCCAUAAUAGGGUAGCGAGGAACAACCAGCUGAGUGUUGUUAACAACGUGGGUAAAGUGGUUAGAG
rnacentral:lncRNA from 1 species